rnacentral:rRNA from 1 species
AUUGAACGCUGGCGGCAGGCUUAACACAUGCAAGUCGAACGAUGAUACCUAGCUUGCUAGGUUGAUUAGUGGCGAACGGGUGAGUAAUGCUUAGGAAUCUGCCUGAUAGUGGGGGAUAACUUACCGAAAGGUAAGCUAAUACCGCAUACGUCCUAUGGGAGAAAGGGGGCUUUUAGCUCUCGCUAUCAGAUGAGCCUAAGUCAGAUUAGCUAGUUGGUGGGGUAAAAGCCUACCAAGGCGACGAUCUGUAGCUGGUCUUAGAGGAUGAUCAGCCACACUGGAACUGAGACACGGUCCAGACUCCUACGGGAGGCAGCAGUGGGGAAUAUUGGACAAUGGGGGCAACCCUGAUCCAGCCAUGCCGCGUGUGUGAAGAAGGCCUUUUGGUUGUAAAGCACUUUAAGUGGGGAGGAAAAGCAAUUGAUUAAUACCCAAUUGCCCUGACGUUACCCACAGAAUAAGCACCGGCUAACUCUGUGC